rnacentral:rRNA from 1 species
GGAAUAUUGGUCAAUGGGCGAGAGCCUGAACCAGCCAAGUAGCGUGCAGGAUGACGGCCCUAUGGGUUGUAAACUGCUUUUAUACGGGGAUAAAGUGCUCCACGUGUGGAGUUUUGUAGGUACCGUAUGAAUAAGGACCGGCUAAUUCCGUGCCAGCAGCCGCGGUAAUACGGAAGGUCCGGGCGUUAUCCGGAUUUAUUGGGUUUAAAGGGAGCGUAGGCCGUUUGGUAAGCGUGUUGUGAAAUGUAGGGGCUCAACCUCUGAAUUGCAGCGCGAACUGUCAGACUUGAGUGUGCACGAGGUAGGCGGAAUUCGUGGUGUAGCGGUGAAAUGCUUAGAUAUAACGAAGAACUCCGAUUGCGAAGGCAGCUUACCGGAACACAACUGACGCUGAAGCUCGAAGGUGCGGGUAUCGAACA